rnacentral:lncRNA from 1 species
GGACACUGUAUACGUCAGAGUUGCUUGAAAUUCAAAGAGCAAGAGAGCCACUGAGAAUCACAAAUAGGAGAAUUAGCUCCGGGGUCACUGCUCUUACCGGAGUUGACCCCAGAAAUGUCACCUUCUACUUCCCCUCUCCAACCUUGUCCUUCCUGAGCUCUUUGGGGCACCGACCUUUACCAGAUAGCAUCUUCUCCUCGAGACUCCACCUCUCUCAGACCCCGGGCUGCUGCCUCCCCUGACCUCCUCACACCUGCCUG